UCUGCUGUCAAAUCAAAGUGGCAAUGCCACCGUUGUUUACCAAAAGCAUACCUACUUAACAAAAGCAUAAGUUUAUAAAAUCUGAAUUUAAGGAAAACUAAGCAACAUAAUAAGAUUCAAAUAUCAACUUCAAUGGCUUUGAACCAAUAAUGCUGUUUAACAAGAAAAUCGAAACUAUCAGACUGACAAAUGACUGACUACGGAGAAAAAUUGACAUUUUAGACAUGAGAAUUGAACAGUGAAAAAUACAUUCGUCACAUUGGAAUUAACGGAGCAGGGAGUUUAAAUUAUAACAUGCACGGGUACGGCCAUCUUUAUUAAAAGAAAAAUAAUAAUUAUUGUACAACAUCCAUAAGACUUUUAAUACUUACCA